rnacentral:rRNA from 1 species
AUGAACGUUGGCGGCGUGGAUUAGGCAUGCAAGUCGAACGGACCUGGUUUUCGGAUCAGGUCAGUGGCGCAAGGGUGAGUAAGGCGACGGUAACCAACCCCACGGUUGGGUAUAGCCGCGGGAAACUGCGGGUAAUCCCCAGCGAUGUAGAGUACCGGCAUCGGUGUUUUAUCAAAGCUCCGGCGCCGUGGGACGGGCUGUCGUGGUAUUAGGUCGUUGGCGGGGUAACGGCCCACCAAGCCGAUGAUGCCUACCGGGCGUGCGAGCGUGGCCCGGCACACUGGGACUGAGACACUGCCCAGACUCCUACGGGAGGCUGCAGUCGAGAAUCUUCGGCAAUGGGCGCAAGCCUGACCGAGCGACGCCGCGUGGAGGAUGAAGGCCUUCGGGUUGUAAACUCCUGUCGAGGGGGAGGAAGGCGCAAGCUUGACCGAUCCCUGGAGGAAGCACGGGCUAAGUUCGU